rnacentral:rRNA from 1 species
GACGAACGCUGGCGGCGUGCUUAACACAUGCAAGUCGAACGGAAAGGCCCUGCUUUUGUGGGGUGCUCGAGUGGCGAACGGGUGAGUAACACGUGAGUAACCUGCCCUUGACUUUGGGAUAACUUCAGGAAACUGGGGCUAAUACCGGAUAGGAGCUCCUGCUGCAUGGUGGGGGUUGGACAGUUUCGGCGGUUGGGGAUGGACUCGCGGCUUAUCAGCUUGUUGGUGGGGUAGUGGCUUACCAAGGCUUUGACGGGUAGCCGGCCUGAGAGGGUGACCGGCCACAUUGGGACUGAGAUACGGCACAGACUCCUACGGGACGCAGCAGUGGGGAAUAUUGCACAAUGGGCGGAAGCCUGAUGCAGCAACGCCGCGUGCGGGAUGACGGCCUUCGGGUUGUAAACCGCUGUCGCCUGUGACGAAGCGUGAGUGACGGUAAUGGGUAAAGAAGCACCGGCUAACUACGUG